CAGUUUUUUAUUUGUUUUAAUGUUUCUUGAGUUGAGCAUCUUCUGAUUCUGAUUUUGUUUUUAAUGUGUUUCGUUCACUUUAUUCACGUUGUAGAUUUUUCAGACGGAUUACCUUAUUGCAUGUGCCUAUAGAGAAACUGAGAUUUGCUGUCCGAAUUGCUUUCUUUGUUUAUCUCUGUCUCUUCCUUGUGAAAGGGAACACAAGAACGGCUCGGUGAAUAGACUAUGGACAUGAUUUACCGUCUGUUAAUCAUGGAAAUCACUUGUUAAGAGAAGAAACAACCCUCAAGAUGGGGGUAAAUCAUCGUGGAAGAUGAAACCGGUUAUGGCUCUAAUGUGUACAGUUCUUUUGAUCUUUGGUAUAAGACCACAAAUUUUCAGUAUGAACAGACACAGAUAGAAGAAACAGAUUAUCCUUUUGAGAUGGCAAAGGUACAU